GCAGGUAUGGAGACAUGGUUCCAAAAGACAAUUGUGGGGAAGAUAUUUGGCUCCAUCUGCUCUCUCAGUGGAGUGUUGGUGAUUGCGCUGCCUGUGCCCGUCAUCGUCUCCAAC
rfam:Astyanax mexicanus chromosome 7, whole genome shotgun sequence.